rfam:Hordeum vulgare subsp. vulgare, WGS project CAJW01000000 data, contig: morex_contig_40266
CACAUACUCCCUCCGUCCGGAAAUACUUGCCCUAAAAUGGAUAUAUUUGAUAUAUGUAUAAUUAAAAUAAGUCUAGAUUCAUCCAUUCCUAGGACAAGUAUUUCCGGACGGAGGGAGUAGGAU